UACUGGGCGUAAAGCGUGCGUAGGCGGUUUUGUAAGUCAGAUGUGAAAUCCCCGGGCUCAACCUGGGAACUGCCUUUGAGACUGCACGGCUUGAGUGCGGCAGAGGGGGGUGGAAUUCCGAGUGUAGCGGUGAAAUGCGUAGAGAUGGGGAGGAACACCGAUGGCGAAGGCGACCCACUGGGCCAAUACUGACGCUGAGGCACGAAAGCGUGGGGAGCAAACAGGAUUAGAUACCCUGGUAGUCCACGCCGUAAACGAUGUACACUAGAUGUUGGAAGGGUUAAACCUUUAGGUGCGAAACUAAGGAGUUAACUUUACCCCCGGGGGAGUUAGGCCGCAAGGUUAAAACUCAAAGGAAUUGACGG
rnacentral:rRNA from 1 species